AUAAUUUGGUAGCACAAAGUCCCAUUCAAAAUCAUGGCAUGUUGAAAAUAUUUCCAUUUUCAGCAACUCUGCUUUAGAAACUACACCCAGGAAGAAUUUACAUCUUAGUCACAUUGGAAACCAUACGGCGUUAGUUAUGCUGUUUACAGAGACAAACGUUGCAGGUAACAAGGGACUUUUAAUAGAAUCAUCACCAGCUCUCACAACCUGGGUAAGUCUCAGUUCUGCAUCUACUAUAAACAAAAAUAUCAUAAUAAAUUGAGGCUAAACCUCUGUGCCUAUGGUAAACAAAAGGAGGGAAACACACCAUAAUUCUUAAAGGACCUAUCCUAGGAUGCAUUUGACCGCUGUACCAUCCUAAAAGUCCUUCCUGAUGCUUCUUAGCUGAUCGCCCUGCGUAUGAGAUUUUGUGCCACCUUCUCAACGCUGAUAAGAGUUCCAUUGAUAAGCUAUUCUAUGGGUUCAAUACCCAUCAAAGUCAAGAGAAAAAGAUCAUGUGAUGCAUCUCAGCUGAUUGAUUGUUUCAUCUCUGCUAAGGUUGUGGAGGUCUAAACUUCUCUGGAAUAGCUGCAACACAAAAGAAUAAACCAUACCAUACUCAAGUUGAUCAGUGCAAAGCUCUUUAUAAAACGGAAACUUCAAAGGCCAUAUAAGGUAAUAUGUUUAUAGGAUUUAGUAAACAAUGGCCGGAAAACAAAAAUAUUUCUCAGUACAGAACAAACUAAGAACAUUUCAACGCUAAAAUAAAACUACAGCAAGCACAAUGGUUCCACUGAACUGUGUAGAUACCUAAUUGCUAAUUUAGGUUGUACGGCUGAUGGAAUCAAACAACAUACAAAGAAUAUCCUUUCAAGUACUCCCUUUGUAAUUUAUAUAAGACCGUUCAGAUCACUAAAGAUUGUAGCUUGGAGUAUAUUAGUUUACAGAGGGAGUAUAGACUGUAGCUUGGAAAGUGAAAACAGUGCAACGCACAUGAGCCUUGCAUGACGUAUACUUCACAAAGAACACAGCCGAACCUGAGUGUACAAAGGUCAUAGGGCUCAAAAACUCGUCAAUCCUUGAACUGGUUACAUUAUAAACAAAUUAAGCUUGUCAUAGAAUAAAACCAUUAUGACCUACUAAAACCCAACCUGACAAAGUGAUCCAUUUCAAAUUUUCAAUACAUAACAUUUGAUGCGUUGUUAAUUGCCAAGUUGUUUAAAUUUUUGGAAUAGAAUCAUGUGGCCCAAACAUAUCUUGUAUUGCCGUUUACGGAAUAAAGGAAAUCAAAAAUAUUUUAACAUUAAUUUAUCUUCCAUCCUAACAAUAGCCUCAUAUAGCACCACAUCUCUAACCUUAAGCUUUUUGAAAAAUGUCAUAUAAAUAUUUUGAACAAAAUAAAUGGCAAACAAAGAAGUAAUAUAUGCACAUAAAAUUCAUGUUUACUGGUUUACUAUGAAUCACUUGAUGAAGGAAGCAAUUGAUUUCAACUAUAAGAAUGAUCAUAUAUUGAUCAUACUCCUAGUGGCUCCAUGGUCAAGGUGAGGUAAGACCUCUGUGGUGACGGGUGAAGCAAAAAUAUGCGGGUAAGUCUCAAAACUGCUGAACUAUACAUUAUGUUUCAUUUCAUGAAGCACACUGAACCAUUGAUACUGCAUUAAAUGGCUAAAGAACCAUAACCUGAAAAGCUGUCAUGGUGAUUCAAUUUCUAAAACAUGUGGCUCUUUUUUGUAAUGUUGGCCAAUUUCAGAAGAUACAAAAAAAGGGCAUGCAAAGAUCAUAAUCUGAACUAGAUGUCUAGAAUUUAUAGAGAAAAUAGAUAUGAUAGUCGAAGCAUGAGGCAAAAAUUCUUUUAGGUCCUGGCACAAAAUCACAAACCCAUAAUUGAUAUCCAAAGGUCACUAUUUUGAAUUCUCGCUAAGCAUGGCAGGCAAAGUAUUAGAGGAUGCAAAUGCUUCUAUUCUCCUUAUUAAUUGUUGCAAUGUAAAUCUGUAAGAUAUACAUGCAAUUCCAGCCAGGAACACACUGACCAAAUACCAUCAAAACCACUAUGGGAAAUUAAGAAUAGGUUCCAACUUUUUGUUCACAGGAAAUAAAGUAAGAAAAGAAUAUACCAAAAUUUUAAUAUGAGUUGUAGAGAGGUGGGGAACCAUGAUCCUUCUUCGGGAAGAGACACCAACGGCUGGGCGUCGGAGGGCUCUUCUAACACACAUAAAGCAGAUACAUCAUCUGCAAACCAUGCCCUUGCUCAGGUUGGAGCCUCAUUUGAAGAACAGAUGCCUAUAGAACAAAAACGGGGUCAACGGCCUUGAUGCUCUUUCUAGGUGGAAAAGGCCAUCAUGGAGAAACUUCUAAAGAAAUACAAUAGAGAACAAAUGGCCGUCAGAAGAGUUCAGAUAGUUUCCUCAAAACCAGAGCAAAAUAAUAAAUAAUAAACAACCAUAUGUUCACUUGUUUAGGAUGUUUUCGGUCAUACAGACCACAUUUCUGGUCCCUUUCCCACUAUAUCUUAACUCGUUUUCUGAUCACAGCUACACGACCAUGUGUCAUAAAAAUACCAGUUUUGUAGAGAACUUGUCGCCAAAUGGUGUAUCAUUAUCAAGAAAAUUUGGAUGAAGGAC
rnacentral:lncRNA from 1 species